rnacentral:rRNA from 1 species
AUUGAACGCUGGCGGCAGGCUUAACACAUGCAAGUCGAGCGGAGAUGAGGUGCUUGCACCUUAUCUUAGCGGCGGACGGGUGAGUAAUGCUUAGGAAUCUGCCUAUUAGUGGGGGACAACAUUCCGAAAGGAAUGCUAAUACCGCAUACGCCCUACGGGGGAAAGCAGGGGCUCUUCGGACCUUGCGCUAAUAGAUGAGCCUAAGUCGGAUUAGCUAGUUGGUGGGGUAAAGGCCUACCAAGGCGACGAUCUGUAGCGGGUCUGAGAGGAUGAUCCGCCACACUGGGACUGAGACACGGCCCAGACUCCUACGGGAGGCAGCAGUGGGGAAUAUUGGACGAUGGGCGGAAGCCUGAUCCAGCCAUGCCGCGUGUGUGAAGAAGGCCUUUUGGAUGUAAAGCACUUUAAGCGAGGAGGAGGCUACCUGGAUUAAUACUCUAGGAUAGUGGACGUUACUCGCAGAAUAAGCACCGGCUAACUCUGUGCCAGCAGCCGCGGUAACAC